GCCGGGCGUGGUGACGCACACCUGUAAUCCCAGCUACUCGGGAGGCUGAGGUGGGAGAAUUGCUCCAACCCAGGAGGCAGAGGCUGCAGUGAGCCAAGAUCAUGCCACACUGCACUCCAGCCUGGGUGACAGAGUAAGACUCCGCCUCAA
rnacentral:SRP_RNA from 1 species